UCAGGAUGAACGCUGGCGGCGUGCUUAACACAUGCAAGUCGAACGAUGAACCUCACUUGUGGGGGGAUUAGUGGCGAACGGGUGAGUAACACGUGAGUAACCUGCCCUUGACUCUGGGAUAAGCCUGGGAAACUGGGUCUAAUACCGGAUAUGACCUUCCAUCGCAUGGUGGUUGGUGGAAAGCUUUUGUGGUUUUGGAUGGACUCGCGGCCUAUCAGCUUGUUGGUGGGGUAAUGGCCUACCAAGGCGACGACGGGUAGCCGGCCUGAGAGGGUGACCGGCCACACUGGGACUGAGACACGGCCCAGACUCCUACGGGAGGCAGCAGUGGGGAAUAUUGCACAAUGGGCGCAAGCCUGAUGCAGCGACGCCGCGUGAGGGAUGACGGCCUUCGGGUUGUAAACCUCUUUCAGUAGGGAAGAAGCGAGAGUGACGGUACCUGCAGAGAG
rnacentral:rRNA from 2 species